GAUGAGCGCUAGCGACAGGCUUAACACAUGCAAGUCGAGGGGCAGCAUAGAAGUAGCAAUACUUUGGUGGCGACCGGCGCACGGGUGAGUAACGCGUAUGCAACCUACCUAUCAGAGGGGGAUAACCCGGCGAAAGUCGGACUAAUACCGCAUAAAACAGGGGCACCGCAUGGUGAUAUUUGUUAAAGAUUAAUUGCUGAUAGAUGGGCAUGCGUUCCAUUAGGUAGUUGGUGAGGUAAUGGCUCACCAAGCCGACGAUGGAUAGGGGAACAGAGAAGUUGGUCGCCAACACUGGUACCGAGACACGGAACAGACGCCUACGGGAGGCAGCAGUGAGGAAUAGUGAUCAAUGGGCGAGAGCCUGAACCAGCCAAGUCGCGUGAAGGAAGAAGGAUCUAUGGUUCGUAAACUUCUUUUGCAGGGGAAUAAAGUGGAGGACGUGUCCUCUUUUGUAUGUACCCUGAGAAUAAGGAUCGGCUAACUCCGUGCCAGCAGCCGCAGUAACAC
rnacentral:rRNA from 1 species